GAUGAACGCUGGCGGCGUGCCUAAUACAUGCAAGUCGAGCGAACGGACGAGAAGCUUGCUUCUCUGAUGUUAGCGGCGGACGGGUGAGUAACACGUGGAUAACCUACCUAUAAGACUGGGAUAACUUCGGGAAACCGGAGCUAAUACCGGAUGAUAUUUUGAACCGCAUGGUUCAAAAGUGAAAGACGGUCUUGCUGUCACUUAUAGAUGGAUCCGCGCUGCAUUAGCUAGUUGGUAAGGUAACGGCUUACCAAGGCAACGAUGCAUAGCCGACCUGAGAGGGUGAUCGGCCACACUGGAACUGAGACACGGUCCAGACUCCUACGGGAGGCAGCAGUAGGGAAUCUUCCGCAAUGGGCGAAAGCCUGACGGAGCAACGCCGCGUGAGUGAUGAAGGUCUUCGGAUCGUAAAACUCUGUUAUUAGGGAAGAACAUAUGUGUAAGUAACUGUGCACAUCUUGACGGUACCUAAUCAGAAAGCCACGGCUAACUACGUGCCAGCAGCCGCGGUAAUACGUAGGUGGCAAGCGUUAUCCGGAAUUAUUGGGCGUAAAGCGCGCGUAGGCGGUUUUUUAAGUCUGAUGUGAAAGCCCACGGCUCAACCGUGGAGGGUCAUUGGAAACUGGAAAACUUGAGUGCAGAAGAGGAAAGUGGAAUUCCAUGUGUAGCGGUGAAAUGCGCAGAGAUAUGGAGGAACACCAGUGGCGAAGGCGACUUUCUGGUCUGUAACUGACGCUGAUGUGCGAAAGCGUGGGGAUCAAACAGGAUUAGAUACCCUGGUAGUCCACGCCGUAAACGAUGAGUGCUAAGUGUUAGGGGGUUUCCGCCCCUUAGUGCUGCAGCUAACGCAUUAAGCACUCCGCCUGGGGAGUACGACCGCAAGGUUGAAACUCAAAGGAAUUGACGGGGACCCGCACAAGCGGUGGAGCAUGUGGUUUAAUUCGAAGCAACGCGAAGAACCUUACCAAAUCUUGACAUCCUUUGACAACUCUAGAGAUAGAGCCUUCCCCUUCGGGGGACAAAGUGACAGGUGGUGCAUGGUUGUCGUCAGCUCGUGUCGUGAGAUGUUGGGUUAAGUCCCGCAACGAGCGCAACCCUUAAGCUUAGUUGCCAUCAUUAAGUUGGGCACUCUAAGUUGACUGCCGGUGACAAACCGGAGGAAGGUGGGGAUGACGUCAAAUCAUCAUGCCCCUUAUGAUUUGGGCUACACACGUGCUACAAUGGACAAUACAAAGGGCAGCGAAACCGCGAGGUCAAGCAAAUCCCAUAAAGUUGUUCUCAGUUCGGAUUGUAGUCUGCAACUCGACUACACGAAGCUGGAAUCGCUAGUAAUCGUAGAUCAGCAUGCUACGGUGAAUACGUUCCCGGGUCU
rnacentral:rRNA from 1 species